rnacentral:pre_miRNA from 1 species
UCUCUGUGGGAUUCGACCCCUACUUGCCCUAGCUAUUCUAGUUAGUUAUUUGUGGGGAUUAUUUUUAUGGUCAUAGACGACACGAUCACAUGCCUUCUUCGAUAUGAUCGUGUCGUCUAUGACCAUAAAAAUAAUCCCCACAAAUAACUAACUAGAAUAGCUAGGGCAAGUAGGGGUCGAAUCCCACAGAGA